rnacentral:rRNA from 1 species
UACGUAGGGACCAAGCGUUGUUCGGAUUUACUGGGCGUAAAGGGCGCGUGGGCGGCAUGACAAGUCACUUGUGAAAUCUCCGGGCUUAACUCGGAACGGUCAAGUGAUACUGUCGCGCUAGAGUGCGGAAGGGGCAAUCAGAAUUCUUGGUGUAGCGGUGAAAUGCGUAGAUAUCAAGAGGAAUACCUGAGGUGAAGACGGGUUGCUAGGCCGACACUGACGCUGAAGCGCGAAAGCCAGGGGAGCAAACGGG